GACGAACGCUGGCGGCGUGCCUAAUACAUGCAAGUUGAGCGCUGAAGGUUGGUACUUGUACCAACUGGAUGAGCAGCGAACGGGUGAGUAACGCGUGGGGAAUCUGCCUUUGAGCGGGGGACAACAUUUGGAAACGAAUGCUAAUACCGCAUAAAAACUUUAAAUACAAGAUUUAAGUUUGAAAGAUGCAAUUGCCUCACUCAAAGAUGAUCCCGCGUUGUAUUAGCUAGUUGGUGAGGUAAAGGCUCACCAAGGCGAUGAUACAUAGCCGACCUGAGAGGGUGAUCGGCCACAUUGGGACUGAGACACGGCCCAAACUCCUACGGGAGGCAGCAGUAGGGAAUCUUCGGCAAUGGACGAAAGUCUGACCGAGCAACGCCGCGUGAGUGAAGAAGGUUUUCGGAUCGUAAAACUCUGUUGGUAGAGAAGAACGCUGGUGAGAGUGGAAAGCUCAUCAAGUGACGGUAACUACCCAGAAAGGGACGGCUAACUACGUG
rnacentral:rRNA from 1 species